GUGGUACUCCCUCCGUUCGGAAAUAUUUGUCAUCAAAAUGAAUAAAAGGUGAUGUAUCUAGACGUAUUUUAGUUUUAGAUACUUUUUUUAUCCAUUUUGAUGACAAAUAUUUUCAAACGGAGGGAGUACUGU
rnacentral:pre_miRNA from 1 species